UAUUUAUAUUGUGAUCGGGGCCCAAUGCCAAAGCUUCCGGUAGUACUAGCGUCUCUUUGGGGCUCUGUUAUACAAUAGUUUAUGUCCCUUACUAAAAUAGUAUAAUGAAUUGGUAGAUACCUCAGAGGCGUGGAAAAUCGUCCGUCUUAAUAGGAAUCACUGCUCUCAUAUCUUGCCGCUGUCACUGGGUUUGCAAAAUGUAUAAUUUUAGGCACAGCAAAUAUUUGUGGCCAUAGAACCUUAAAGGGGUCUUUUACCUUGAAGUAACUUUUAGCAAGUUAUGCAAAGGCCAAUUCGAAGCAACUUUUCAAUUCAACUUCAUUACUAAUUUUUUUAUAGUUUUUAUAGGUUUUUAUAGUUUUUAAAUUAUUUGCCUCCUUCUGACUCUUCCAUGCUUUCAAAUGGGGGUCACUGACCCCAGCAGCUAAAAACCUAUUUGUCUGUGAGGCCACAAAGUUGUUAUUGUUAAAUACCAGCCUUCAUAUAUUCUUAUGUUUUUUCCUUAUAGCAUUGGCAUUAGGUAACAUUUUUACUGGGCAGACUGGCUAAGUAUGAGCCGAGUGUUAACCUUGGAAGCCGGUGUCACUUAGCUCACUGAACUGUAGGACAGGAACCAAUCAGAAACUAGGCAAGCCUGACCAGUGCCAGGCCAAGUCAGCUGGGCGCCCUGUGCGAGAACUCAGAUGUGCACACACGGGGGUCGGGGUUGCUGGGACCACUGGAGGGGGUGAUGCUGUGGGGGUAAGGGCCCACCAGAACUAGGUGUAGGUGAAGGAAGAGUUAACUGCUUGGUGCCCCCCCCCCCCACCCUUGUGCCCUAGGCAGGUGCCUCUUCUGCCUACCCCAAGUUCCAGCCCUUGACCUGAUGGAACAGCAGGCUAUCUUUGCUUGUGUGAAUGCAGGACUGUGAUUCGCUACCCACCUCCUACGGUUCACUCACCCCUCACACAGACAGGGACCAUAUUAGACCUAUGGGUAAUUCCAAUAAAGAGAACAAGAUACUACAGGUCUACAAACAAAAAACUGGUUUUAGAUACUGCUGACAGAGAAGAACACAUUGGCUGAUAUAUUAAUCAUGGACAAACAUAAAUAGAAGGCUAAGUAUUAAGGAUGAAUUUCUUAUGGGAGAGAAAACAAGACAUAAUUUUGCCCAUUUGGCCUGCCCUAAAUUCUUAUAUCCGUUAUCCAUGGAAAGCUGUGAGGAGGCCUGAGGUAGAUGAUCCAUCAUUGUUGCAUGCCCCUAUAGGUAUGGUGGCUUUGUACGGAGUCCUAAUAGGAAAACUGUUGGAAAGGCCUGAUAUAUCAACACUGUGCUAUAUAAUCAAGGUUCAGAGUUUCCUGACUGCAAGUGACUUUACCCACUAUACAACAGGAUAAGUAUUACUACCUGGUCCAAUGACUAAAUAAAAAUUUCCAUUGAAUGAACUAUGUAGAGGAAAUGGAAAGCGAAAUACAUUGGAGCCUGAACAAAUAUGUAUCAAGUGCAAAAGAAUCCUUUUUUAUGAUGGUAACAGGCAGCUGGAUAUUCCCUAAGGCUAACAGCCAAGUAAGAGUUGGGAGGGGGUAAAGUAGGGCGUUUUUCAGAUAGCUGAAACUCACCCAUAAUCUGGUGUCUUUUUAUUGUUUUACAUGCAUGUAAAAUUCCUUGAGGUGCCACACCAGUAAAAUAUGUAUAUUAAUUUUGAUUCCACCGCUGUUAUUAAAUAAUUACCUUGCAAAAUCUCA